rnacentral:rRNA from 1 species
CCCUUAGAUGUUCUGGGCCGCACACGCGCUACACUGAAGGAGGCAGCGUGUACUCCUGGAUCGAAAGAUUUGGGUAACCCGCGAAUCUCCUUCGUGCUAGGGAUUGAGGUUUGCAAUUAUCCUUCAUGAACGAGGAAUUCCCAGUAAGUGCAAGUCAUAAGCUUGCGCUGACUACGUCCCUGCCCUUUGUACACACCGCCCGUCGCUACUACCGAUUGAAUGAUUUAGUGAGGACUUCGGACUGGGACCGAUGCGGCUUUCGGGCUGCGUCGGUAUUCUGGAAAGAUGUCCAAACUGUAUCAUUUAGAGGAAGUAAAAAUCGUAACA